rnacentral:lncRNA from 1 species
CUGCUACACAUCACAUCUCAACUUUGACUGGCGAUUCCCAGGAUUGUUUGGUGAAGGAACUUGAACUUGAAGAUCUGACUUCCAUUUCCCCAGAUGGAAAGAGACAGCCUAGCAUGCCAAAUGAUCCAAAUUUAUCUUGUUUGGAUGGUGAAAAUACUCAUGGAGAUGCAUAUGGUAAGCACAAUACGGAUAGGCAUUCCUAUCAAAAAGAGAAUGAAAUGCUUACAUGGAGUCCACAACAAUCUGGAUCCAAUGAUGAAGAUAAUCUCGAUCUUCCGGUAUCAAGUGAAAUUGAAAAUGCGAGGGAGUCCUCAUUGUUUGAUCGAAGAUUGAGAUCUGUUAAGC